rnacentral:rRNA from 1 species
UACGUAGGAUGCAAGCGUUGUCCGGAAUUAUUGGGCGUAAAGAGCGCGCAGGCGGUAUGACAAGUCAGAUGUGAAAGAGGCCGGCUUAACCGGCAAGGGUCAUUUGAAACUGUCAAACUAGAGUGCAGCAGAGGAUAGUGGAAUUCCCGGAUGUAGUGGUGAAAUGCGUAGAUAUCGGGGAGGAACACCAGUGGCGAAGGCGACUAUCUGGGCUGCAACUGACGCUGAGGCGCGAAGGCUAGGGUAGCAAACAGG